CAUUCAUAUAUUCACACACACACACACACACACACACACACACACACACACACACACACACACACACACACACACACACACACACACAUUCACAUAUCCACACACACACACACAGUACAGCAUAUGUAAACACAUUCACAUAUACACACACACACAAACACACAAUUUCUGUCUCUCUCUCACACACACACACAUUACAGCCCAUGUGUGUUCCGUAUUGGUGCGUCCUUUUCUUCCAUAACUUGGUGAGUGGGUGGUGCGGGGGGGGGGGGGACAUGUAUAAUUCAGUAGGGAGAUGAGGACUGGACUAUUGAGGAGACGCUGCUCGUCCACAAGUGAGACCAGAGAUAGAUAGAUAGAUAGAUGGAUACUUUAUUAAUCCCGAGGGAAAUUUAGGUCAUCCAGUAGCUUAUACACUUAACUUAACUCACAAACAUACAUACACAAAUCAAAGUAGAAAGACAAUACACAUAGGGAGAACAUGUUCACAGGGAGUGGGGUGUAUACAGAUACUAUACAGAUAUGAGACCAGAGGAAACCAAGUGAGACGAGAGGAGACCAGAGGAGACCAGGGGAGACCAGAGGAGACGAGAUGAGACCAAGUGAGACCAAAGGAGACCAGGGGAGACCAGAGGAGACCAGAGGAGACCAGAUGAGACCAAGUGAGACGAGAGGAGACCAAGUGAGACCAGAGGAGACGAGAUGAGACCAAAGGAGACGAGAGGAGACCAAAGGAGACCAGAGGAGACCAGAGGAGACGAGAGGAGACCAGAGGAGACCAAGUGAGACCAGAGGAGACGAGAGGAGACCAAGUGAGACCAGAGGAGACGAGAGGAGACAUGCCCUGAACACAGCACUUAUUAAAAUAACACACUACUGGAAUUUCUGUUGUCCAUUACA
ensembl:lncRNA